rnacentral:rRNA from 1 species
AACUCGACUACAUGAAGCUGGAAUCGCUAGUAAUCGCGAAUCAGCAUGUCGCGGUGAAUACGUUCCCGGGUCUUGUACACACCGCCCGUCACACCAUGGGAGUUGGUAACGCCCGAAGCCAGUGACCCAACCUUAAGAGGAGGGAGCUGUCGAAGGUGGGACCGAUAACUGGGGUGAAGUCGUAACAAGGUAAC